UGUAUCUACAGUAUAUAAAACAACGCCACAAAUAUGGUAUAAUAAUUAGAAAUCCUUCUCAAUUAGUUCCACAUUUUUUGCAGAGUCUCCCGAUUAUGAUGGUCCCCCGGGCAAGUUGGCCAAGCCUUUGGCUGUAGCCAUUGACGAGUACAUUCGCUCGGGUCAAAAGUUAGCUGGCAAUGUUCCGGCAAAUGUAUUGCGCAAAACGGCGUGGAAUUGCCUUUAAAAACGCAUCAAAUUAUGCCGGAGGAGAGGCAUCCACUCCGGAAUGGAGCUGCCCCUUCAAAUUGGUGCACACAAAGCUCCGGCGGAUGGCGGAAUGGAAAAUGGAAAAUGGGUGGUCUAGUUGGCUACUUGGCGUAUUUACCAGACGCUUAACCGACUUUCCGCACGCACGGGACUCUGGAAAAAUAUAUUGGCAGUGCGGCAGUGCUCCAGCUUCAGCUCCACUCCGCUGGCAAAAGUGCUCCACAAUGGCACUCGUUCAGACAAUGUUAAAUGCGCGCUCGUUGCGAGCUGUCUGUCAACUUGGCUCAAGUGGCCCCAGUCCCCCAAUUCACCAAAGCCCCCAAUCUCUGGCCAAUAGCUUCUCCUCGCCAGCCACUCGAUCGAUUCCCGCCUCUGACAGCGACACAAUGCGGAUGUGGACGCGGAUGCGGCCGAGGAAGCGGAGUGCACUUGUCGCCAUCAUUGACAUCAAUGCAUCGCAGCUGGCUUUUUAGCUGUCGCUCCCAAUGAGCAGCAAUGAGGGGCAAAGGACUAAGGACGCAGGACGAAGUGGGUGGUGUUGGCCAAACACUUUGGCAUAAUUUCCAGCGAAUAACUAAUGGGCGUGGCUAGCGCAUUUGGUACCCACUACCCGCCACGGAUACCCUCUUCAUUCAGAGCACUGGUCUACAAAAAGAAAAACAUCAUGGACCAUAGGCCACGUCAAAAUCAGAUUUUUUGCUCAUUUUACAUUUAGCGUACAAUGGGCAUAAUUACUCGAUUGGUUCAUUGGCCUUCUGUAAUUCUGUAUAUACUGUAUAUGACCUUAAUCUUAUCAUUUGAAUGCAACAUUAUUAAUAUUAAAGAUUUAUUGGCCAGCUCUGCGG
ensembl:ncRNA lncRNA:CR44080 long non-coding RNA:CR44080